GUGAACGCUGGCGGUAGGCCUAACACAUGCAAGUCGAACGGCAGCACCGUAAGAGCUUGCUCUUACGGGUGGCGAGUGGCGGACGGGUGAGGAAUACAUCGGAAUCUACUUUUUCAUGGGGGAUAACGUAGGGAAACUUACGCUAAUACCGCAUACGACCUACGGGUGAAAGCAGGGGAUCUUCGGACCUUGCGCGAUUGAAUGAGCCGAUGUCGGAUUAGCUAGUUGGCGGGGUAAAGGCCCACCAAGGCGACGAUCCGUAGCUGGUCUGAGAGGAUGAUCAGCCACACUGGAACUGAGACACGGUCCAGACUCCUACGGGAGGCAGCAGUGGGGAAUAUUGGACAAUGGGCGCAAGCCUGAUCCAGCCAUACCGCGUGGGUGAAGAAGGCCUUCGGGUUGUAAAGCCCUUUUGUUGGGAAAGAAAAGCAGCAGGUUAAUACCCCGCUGUUCUGACGGUACCCAAAGAAUAAGCACCGGCUAACUUCGUG
rnacentral:rRNA from 1 species